UCCCUGGUGGUCCAGUGGUUAGGACUCUGUGCUUUUGCUCCCAGGGCCCAGGUUCAAUCCCUGGUCAGGGAA